GAGAAACAGGUGUAGCUAAACUGCCUCCCUGCAAGGCUGCAGACAGUCAGCUAGCUUUCCUUAUUAAUCCAGUACUGCUUGUCCAGGAAUAGUGCCUCCCAUGGUGGGUUUGGUACUUCCCCAUCAGUCAACAAAAAAAAGACCAUCUCACACAGAAAUACAUACAGGCCAGCUGAUCUAGACAAUUCUAGCUGAUUCUAGGUCACGAGCAAUUAACACUUAUGCUACAAUUUGCUAUUCUCCCCGUUUGGAGGAGGAAAGUCUGAUUAGAGACCUUUCUGAUAAGGAGCCUAUUGAAGACUGAGCCAUCCUGGGAGCCUGAAACACAGAAUAAUCAUAAGCCGAAGAGCGUGGGAAGAGAAGAGCAAACCAACGUCAGAAAUGGCCAACAGGAUAAAAUUCUAAGGAACAAGAUAGAAAUGAAUGAACCUCAGACUAACUAAUGAGGACCACAAGGUGUCUGGCUGGAGG
rnacentral:lncRNA from 1 species